rnacentral:lncRNA from 1 species
CCAAAUAAACUUUGUAUUCAAGACACAAGUAUGCUAGGUCAUUUGCAAAAGCCAUAGAGCCGGAGACCCACACUCUGGGCCUUGAGAGCCCUGGUGCUGGUCCUAGGUAUAUUAGUAAGGAUUAUGACCUGGAUGAGUCACUUCCCCUCUCUGGAGCUCAGUUUCCUUAUCUGUGAAAUAGGGUAUAAAUAAAGAGCUAGACAGUCUGAUGGAAGCAAGAGGAGGUUUCUGAAGAGGACUGAAAUCUUAUUUUUUGUGAAACUAGGUAGGCCACACGAAGUCAGCCUCAGCCUAUUCUAAAGAAAUUAGGUUGGACCUAAAACAGCUGGGAGGAGUUCCUGUUUUGGCGCAGCGGAAACAAAUCUGACUAGUAACCACGAGGUUGCAGGUUUGAUCCCUGGCCUCGUUUAGCAGGUUAAGGAUCCGGCAUUGCUGUGAGCUGUGGUGUAGGUUGCAGACUCAGCUGGGAUCCUGUGUGGCUGUGGCCGGCAGCUGUAGCUCUGAUUCGACCCCUGGCCUGGGAACCUCCAUAUGCUGUGGAUGCGACCCUACAAAAAGCACAAAAGGAAAAAAAAGAAAACAGCUGAGAAGCAAGAAAGACUGCAAAAAGUAAAACAAAACCAAAAAACUAAUAACAAUUGGUACUAGAUUUAUAGUAUGAGUAGUCUUCCCAUGCUGGCAAUUAGUGUAUAUGGCUAUCCAGCUCUCAUUACCGCAACGUUGUUAACUCUGCUUCAAAAAAUUAGGUAGGUUUCAUCAGUGCAGCUGAGUUUUUCCUUUUGUUUUAACCUUCAAGCCUAGAGUGGAUGCUCAGUUAGAUUGGACUGGGUACAGCCUUUCUGGAAGAACCUCCGUGGGCACUCUUAGUGCUCUAGUGCCAUAGAUUUCCUUCUGACUGAUGCUGCCAUCCCGGUACACCCCACUUCUGUCAUCUCCAUUCUGGCUGGAGAAGUGGUGAGCUGAUUCCUGUGGCAUCUGGCAUUUCUGAACUUCCCAGGUUUCUUUCCAAGUGAGUGAAAUGAAUAGGCAAACUGUAUUAGAUGGAGCACGUUAAAAAUAGCUCAAGGGAGUAAUUUGUUCAUCCCACCGCUAUUCCCCAGACCCCCUGGGGGGCCUCUCCCUAGACCUUCCCAGUCACCUGCCAGCCAUCUCGUUUUGAAUGCUGAGGCCAUGAUGCUGGCGGAGAGGAGGAUUUUUUUUUUUUUUUUUUUUUUUACGAUAACUGAAUGCUCCUGUCCUUCUAUUCUCUUCUAUUAGUGGCUUUCAGAAUCCAAAAUCCAUAUUGGUUUUGACCACAUCAUUUUCAGUAAUCCUUUUCUGUCAGUUUCUUGGAAGCUGCAGUUAGUGGUUAUCUCUGAAUUUGAGGUAGUGGUAAAACUCUCCUCUCCAGCAAGUAAUUAAGUUGGAUCCUUAAGAGAGCAGUAGUACAUAGGUAUGUGUGUGUAUAAAUUUUACCUUAUUUGAAGUCUGUUAAAUUAAGAACGAUUAUGAUGCUAAUAAUAGUUAUCCUUUGAACCCCUCCCAUUUAUCAGGCACUGUGAGGUGAGGAAAGAAAGCUUAGACAGGAUACAGCUCUUAAGUACUACCACUGUCUUGCCCAAGUUGUUGAUGGUCUUCGAACCCCCAAAACCAAUUUGCAAUAGUGGAAAAGUCAUUCUUAACUAUCCUGUAGGGUUGUGGUGUGAAGUGAGAUGAUGUGUGUGAAAAGCAAUGUGUAAACUGUAAGGUGCCUUCAACCCAGGACAAUAUUUUACCCCAAGAAGUUGGGGACGUUGGACGCUUAUGAGUCCUUGAGUCUUGGUGUCUGCUGGAUGUGGUGUAAGAUGUGCUGAGCCCAUUGCCUGAUCCCUCUGAGCUUGAUUUCUGCCUUAUGUCAAAUCAGGGUGAUAGUAUCUGCCUUUCCCUCAGUGAGAUGUACUUGUGAGUUGCAGUGGGUCCUCAGGAACCUCUUUUUUCUCCCCUUGCCCAGGGGCACUUUUGGGAUAAGGGGUUGGUUAUGCCUUCCAGGAGGAAUUGUCCUCGAGGAAGAAUGGCUUUUAAAGUACAUUUCACCACUCCAACUUCCCAUGAGUGGAGACCGAACUGCUUUCCCCUAAGGAUGCCCCUUUUCAGCAGGAAGCAGCCAGAGCGGUUGUCCCCCUCCCCCCACCGCAGUUAGAAUCUCCAACACUAGAAGGGGAGAUCGAGGCAGAAUAAUCACUUAGGUCGUCAGUGUAGGAGCAGGGGCUCCGAUGCAUUCUUUGAUAUGGCCAUUGAUUAACAUUUGCGGCUUAAGGGCUCCAGGGAGUAACAUACCCACAGGCCUCGUUUACUGUAGGGAGACACCCAGAUGGAUGUUAGUCCCUAAUCGCCUGUGACUCAGUUUAUGGUGAGAAAAGGGCCAAGAAAUGAUGAGACUUACAGGACAUUUCUGCCCCUAAGACCCCUAUUGGACAAGGACUGAUAUAGGUAACUGAGCAAAGCCAAUAGGAGAAAACCUCAUCUUUCUGAACCCCACGUUGGUCCCCCCCGCUCCAGCUGUAAGAGGCAAAAACCCCUAUAGGGCAAUAGAGAGGGGAUGCUCGUCUUCCCCCUCCCAGCAGCCCUGGUAAAGCCUUUGCUUGCUUGCUGGAAGAAGAAAAAGGUACAUUUUGAAGUCCUUACAAAUAAUUCUUUGAGCUUUUCCCUUCCCACCCCACCCCUAACACAUGCAGUGAAUAGUCUAGGCCCUGCCAUCAUCUAAAAGGAGGAAACUGAACCAAACCAGAAGCCAGAAAGGACAGGUCUUUUGGUGGGAGGUUGAAGAUGGCCGUAGCUAGUUUCCUUGUGCCCAUUUUGUGCCCUUCUCCCCUCUUUUAUUCGUUUUGUUGGGCAGUGGAGAGAUACUGGAUUUGGAGCUUUCUCGCUGUAGGAGGCACUGUGAGAGCUCUAGUGUCAGAUGGGAGGGCAGGGCACAUGGGGGCUGGAAAGGAGAUGGAUUUGGCAGUAGGAUCUGGAAAGUUUGGCGCGGUGGCAAUCUGCGAGAUGUAGGAUCUGGCUAAGUACGGGGCCAGUUUCCCUCCAGUCCUAUAAGGCUCUCUCUCGGAGCUUGGAAGUUUUCAUGCUCCAGGCAGCUUUUGACUGGUUGUGGUGGCAUCAUAAAUGAGUUUCCAUAGUAAGUUGUAUGCGGAAAAAGGAAAUUAAAUUCCGAGAGGGUGUUUUGUUGUGACUGAUGCCAGAAUUUCUCUGAGAAUUUUAUUAAGAUUCAGUCAGUCUAUAAAAGUACUUUUUAGUUCUCUGAAGAUAUUAAUUAAAAAAUGGUUAAAAAAAAAAAAAAGCCAGAAGUGUCUCCUUUGUGAGCUUUUGAAAUGUAAUCUUCCUAAAUCUUUGGGGGAAAAAAAUGAAGUCUAAAAAAAAACCACAGAGCUGUAUGUUUUAAGAGCAGUUCCUUCAAAGUAAUGUUUUCCUUCUCUUCCUGUCCUUUCUCCUCCUCUCACAUUAUUGUGAUAGUUGAUUUUGGUUUCUUUCACAUCUCCCUAGCCUAGUUUUUACGUUUAUGACCUUUUUUUUUUUUGCUUUUUAGGGCCGCACGCAUGGCAUGUGGAGGUUCCCAGCCUAGGGGUCUAAUCAGAGCUGCAGCUGCCCGUCUACACCACAGCCACGCCAGACCUACACUGCAGCUCAUGGCAAAGCUGGAUCCUUAACCCACUGAGCGAGGCCAGUGAUCAAACCUGCAACCUCCUGGUUCCUAAUUGGAUUCAUUUCUGCUGCGCCACAACGGGAACUCCAAUUUUUUUUUUUUUGAUGUUGAAUGUGCCUUCUUUUCUCCUGAGUUUACUCAUCUUCUUUCAUCAAGAAGGGGGAGCACGGUGAGGCAGUGAAGAGCACGGGGUCCGGAGCCAGGCUGGGGACAGCAAGGGUCAUGGUGGUUCUUGGAGAGCCGGGCUCUCCUCUGCUUGGAUUCACCACCCCCUACCCCAGAGGCUCUCGAGGGCAAUUAUUAUUCUGUCACACCGAUGAGGGAACGGGCACAGAAGUGCCUGUGUCCACACAGCCAGUGAGGGGGUGGCCUUGGUGGCAGCUGUGAUCCCUGUGACUCCACCGCAGGGCUAGGCAGAGGUCCUGCUCCCCUGCCAGGGUGGGCUCCGUCCUAUAGGCAGGGGCUUCGUUAAGUGAGAGGGUCAGGACUGUGGUUUUGAAAGGUGGCCUCAUGGGCAGUGUGCAGUAUGACAUGAGCAGCACGGAAAUGGGCAUGAGACAGGGCGGGGGCUUGAACUGAAGACGGCGGCAGUGGUGACAGAGCAAAGGGGACAGGUUGGCGUGGGUGCUGCUCAGUCGUCUGGAUUGGGGCCCAGAGAGGGAGGAGGUGAGUCUGGGAGCGCUUUCCUCUCCUCAGCCUUCCCUACUGCUGGUUUUCAUCCCCGCAGGCUGGGUGGGUAUUGGAGAUACUCACUCUGUGCAGACUGAAAGCAGUCUCUUUAGGAAUCAAGGUCACCUCCUUUGUGCCCUGUGACAGCCAGAGAAAGGUGCCUGAGCAAAACCCCAAUGCGUCUUCCCCGGUCUUUGCCCACCUGCUCUGGCCUUAUCGUUUGCCCCUUUCCUGGAGCAUCUCAGGAUGGAAUUUAGGUUCUCAGACCCCAGUUAGGGAAAUACCGGUUUGAACAUUCAAACUUAAACUGAAAGUAUUGAAAGGAAAAAGCCCCUAAAGAAGGAAGCCUCUCUGGGGUGUAGGGGGUGCCCCACCGUUCCCCAGUGGACCCCCCCAGGGGCUGUGGUCCUCAGUUCUGGCUGUUCCCCAAGGGCUGAGCUGCCUCUAGGCAGGGGCUGGGGUGACUUGUGGUCACCAGGCAUGACGGGCUGGUGGGGGAAGGGGAGGUGGUGAACGUGGGCGAGUUCUCAGUGGUGGCCUGCCUGGCCAGGAGGUGAGACCACCCUCCCCUGAAGGGUGCAGCUUCCGUGGAGAGCCAGGCUCUACUCAGGAGCACCAGAGUCAGAGCAAGGGGAUGUGGUUGGUCCCUGGUUGCUAGUAUGCACGCGUCCCCAUCAUAGGCUGCGCUCAUGCCAUGUCAGGAAUGUGCUGGUCCUGUGCCCUCUCCCCUGGUCAGUGCCAGAGUCCCUAAUAAACUUGCCCAGGCCUCGGUCUUCCAGACCGCAUAGUGCCCAGAUUCGUCAGAGAGUUUGUUCUUGCUGGGCUCCAGCCAGUUGGUCGGGUCCAGCUCUGCUUGGGCCGUGACCUCCUUGCGAGGAGGCCAAGAGUCACUUUAUCGGCCUGCCCGCUUCCCGCAUCCACAGGCACAGCCAACUCUGCAGUGAGUCGGUGUACAUGACUCUGUUCCCCCACUGUUUGAUGGUCACCCCUUUCCCUCCAAGAUGUGACUUCCUUUCCGUGUCCCAAGGGUGGCCCCCAGCCAGGGACCGUUCAAGUACCCAUUGAGUUUGGCGCCUAACACGGUGCCCAAUUCAGUGAGAGGGGAGCGUGUUUUGCCUGGGGGUGUUCACUGUCAGCCUCCGUCCUGAACAUCAGGUCCUAAGCAGAGCCCCUCUUUUCCUGCUUUGCUCCAUGUUUAGCUGCAUGUGUGUGUUUAUUUUAAUUAUUACUGGGAAGCAAAAAAAAAAAAAAAUCAAAUGUUUGAAUUUCCAGAAGUGUUAAUAUGGACAAGCAGAGAGAGUAACUAUAUAUUUAUCCAGCGUACUCCUGAUUUCUCUCUCCCCUCCACGUCGUUGCCGUUUUGUUGGCAGAACCAUGUCAUUUGUGUACUGGAUCAGUUGGGAUUUCAGUAUUGAGUGUGAAAAGAGGUCUGUCUGGUUGUUUGCCGAAGUGGAGGGACUCGGGUGGGUGGACUUUGGGCUUCCAGCCUUGGCUCAGCCUCGCACCCGGUGCCUCUGUCGGGAAGGUGGUGUUUGGCCAGGCUGUUUCUUUGGCUUCUCCUGGGAGCAGUUGUGCUGGUGACAGCAGGUGGCCUCCUCUCUGCUAUGGAAAGGGAAUGCUCCCUAAUCCUGGUUUUUACUUCCUUCUCAUCCUGUGGGGGUGAGAGUGAAGAAAACCUAGAAAAUUAUUACUAGGAAGCAAAAAAAAAUUAUUACUAGCGGCCGUGUCCUCCUUGCGAGGAGGAAAAUGAUUACUUGGAAGCACAGCGACCCUUGGAGCUGGGCAGGUUGGGACAGGGCAGGUCUGCCGCUUCCACAGAGCUUUUCCCAAGGUUUCCCUUGCAGCCCGCAUCUCCCUUCUUCCCUGCUGAUCCCGAUCCAGCCUGUCAUCUGUGCUCUGAGAUUGCACUUGACCUUUAUCACUCACUCUUGGAAAGACCUUGGAGUGUGGUGCCAAAACUUGUUCCUAUUGGUGUGGCCUUUUCACACCAGAACGCGAACCCUGUUGUGGCGGUGGUGGUAUUUUUAAAAAUCAGUUCAAUUGCUUUUUUCUAAAUGAUAUGGGUCGUAUGUGACUAUGUGAUGUUCUUGCACCCCACCCUCCUGUUCACAUGGGGGGGUCCACAGCAGGAAGUAUAGAGCCCUCCUUCUCCUGGCACCCCGUCCUGCAUACUGCCAUCCUGCCGGGCCCUCGGCGGUGACCAUUUGUAGCAGUGUGACGCCUCUCCGGAAACUGUCCAUCAGCCUGUAGCACAAAUAACUUGCAGUUAUGUUUCUUUCGUGAGCAUAAAUCUGAUCUCAUCACAUGUAUCGUUUCACUGUUUAAUCUGUUGACAUAAUAGAUCUUGGUAGCUCUUUUCAUGCAUUAGCAGCUCUUCUCUCAUUUGUCUGCAGCAUAUUUUAUCGUAUAGGUAUAACAUAAUUUAUGAGUCUGUCCCCUGUUGAUAGACAUAGAAACUGACUCAGUUUUGCUGUUGCAUCUUCAUGUGUACCUUCUGGUAUGCACACAUGCGUGCAUUUCUCUUGGAGUGGAAUUGGUGUGCCUCAGGUUCUGCACGUUUGAACCGUUAACAGCAGUGCCUACACUGUGCUCUCGAGGGCUGUGCUGGAUUAAACUACCAACAGUGCAUGAGGCCAGUGGGUUCCCCACGGGCUAUCAUUCUAUUAGGGGAGAGAUGCGGAGAGUAUUUAGUAGGCAUUUCAUUCAUCACUGGUGCGGCUGUGAGACUCAGUUGGCUUCUGGAUCUGGGCAGGGGGGCCGGGGAGGGGUCCUGUCCUAAGCGGGAGGAUGAGGGAGCUGGGCCCCCGAGGACCAAGGCUCUGCUCAGGGUGGUGUGAGGGUCCUGCCAUCAGCACUGGAAGCCAGCGCUCCUGGCUUCACAUUCUCUCUGCUCCUCCCAGAGGCUGGGCGCUGUCACAGGACCCUUGGACCAGGGUGUAACCUGCCUGAACCUUUGGGCGGGCCUCUCCCCGAGGAGGCAAGUGAGCGUGAGCAGUGCUUGAUACCAGCGCUGAGCUGCACGACCAAGGCAGGGAUUCGAGGCAGGGGAGCUGAACCCAGGGCUCCUUUAAAGAUCACAAGCCAGAAAAUCAGCCGCUCUUGCUUCUGGAGUAGCCUCUGUGCACGUGGUGAAGCGAGGUUGUGUGCGUGGCUGGGCUGCCUUCGCGGGGUGGGGUGUGGAGAGCCGCCCCCCCACUCUCCUGGCUUGUGGGAAUGUUAUGGCAGUUUGUCCCCGAGCAGGGUUUCUGAGAAGGUGUUCCCGGGGCCCGACCUGCUAGAGGAGGCGUCUGGAGGCCCUCACAGGUAGGCUCAGCCAGGCUGUGUAGCCCAGUGGGUUUGGGGGAGACUCUGACUGGUGGAUGACAGAGUCCUUUUCCUGCCGCUCAGAGAGGGCCAGGGAGAAGGAGCGAUGGAGGGGACAGCCCGAGGCGGUGAAGAGACUCGAGGGUCAUUUCCAGCUCUCACUCCAUCAUUGAUGGCCAUGUGGCUUAAGCAAAGGUAUCCUUUCUCUCUGGGCCUCGGUUUCCUCAUCUGUAAACCAGGAAUAAUUUAGUACCUACCUCACAGGGUUGUUGUGGCGAUUAAGAGAGUAAUGUUUGGGAGCUCCUGCUGUGGUGCGUUGGGAUCGGUGGCAUCUUGG